rnacentral:rRNA from 1 species
CCUACGGGAGGCAGCAGUGAGGAAUAUUGGUCAAUGGGCGAGAGCCUGAACCAGCCAAGUCGCGUGAGGGAGUACUGCCCUAUGGGUUGUAAACCUCUUUUGUCGGGGAGCAAAAGCCGGACGUGUCCGGCUGUGAGAGUACCCGAAGAAAAAGCAUCGGCUAACUCCGUGCCAGCAGCCGCGGUAAUACGGAGGAUGCGAGCGUUAUCCGGAUUUAUUGGGUUUAAAGGGUGCGUAGGCGGUUUGAUAAGUUAGAGGUGAAAUGUCGGGGCUCAACCCCGAAACUGCCUCUAAUACUGUUGGACUAGAGAAUAGUUGCGGUAGGCGGAAUGUAUGGUGUAGCGGUGAAAUGCUUAGAGAUCAUACAGAACACCGAUUGCGAAGGCAGCUUACCAAACUAUAUCUGACGUUGAGGCACGAAAGCGUGGGUAGCAAACAGGAUUAGAUACCCGUGUAGUC